rnacentral:misc_RNA from 1 species
UUUCCGUAGGUGAACCUGCGGAAGGAUCAUUCAUAAUAAGUGUUUUAUGGCACUUUUUUAAAUCCAUAUCCACCUUGUGUGCAAUGUCAGGGUUGAUUUUUCUCUCGAGAGGAUCAACCCCAAACAUCAACUAUAUCUCAACACUUUGUCUGAAAAAAUAUUAUGAAUAAAACAAUUCAAAAUACAACUUUCAACAACGGAUCUCUUGGCUCUC